rnacentral:rRNA from 1 species
CCAAUAGCGUAUAUUAAAGUUGCUGCAGUUAAAAAGCUCGUAGUUGAAUUUCGGGAUCAAUAUGUCGGUCGUGCCUCGGUACGUACUGGCUUAUUGGUUUCUCCUUUCUGAAGAACCAUGAUGUCAUUUAUUUGGUGUCGUGGGAAAUCAGGACUGUUACUUUGAAAAAAUUAGAGUGUUUAAAGCAGGCUCACGCUUGAAUACAUUAGUAUGGAAUAAUGAAAUAGGACGUUUGAUUCUAUUUUGUUGGUUUCUAGGAUCGACGUAAUGAUUAAUAGGGAUAGUUGGGGGGAUUAGUAUUCAAUUGUCAGAGGUGAAAUUCUUGGAUUUAUUGAAGACUAACUACUGCGAAAGCAUUUGCCUAGGAUGUUUUCAUUAAUCAAGAACGAAAGUUAGGGGAUCGAAGACGAUCAGAUACCGUCGUAGUCUUAACCAUAAACUAUGCCGACUAGGGAUCGGAUGAUGUUAAUUUUUUAAUGACUCAUUCGGCGCCUUACG